AGUGAACGCUGGCGGUAGGCCUAACACAUGCAAGUCGAACGGCAGCACAGUAAGAGCUUGCUCUUACGGGUGGCGAGUGGCGGACGGGUGAGGAAUACAUCGGAAUCUACUUUUUCGUGGGGGAUAACGUAGGGAAACUUACGCUAAUACCGCAUACGACCUACGGGUGAAAGCAGGGAUCUUCGGACCUUGCGCGAUUGAAUGAGCCGAUGUCGGAUUAGCUAGUUGGCGGGGUAAAGGCCCACCAAGGCGACGAUCCGUAGCUGGUCUGAGAGGAUGAUCAGCCACACUGGAACUGAGACACGGUCCAGACUCCUACGGGAGGCAGCAGUGGGGAAUAUUGGACAAAGGGCGCAAGCCUGAUCCAGCCAUACCGCGUGGGUGAAGAAGGCCUUCGGGUUGUAAAGCCCUUUUGUUGGGAAAGAAAAGCAGCAGGUUAAUACCCCGCUGUUCUGACGGUACCCAAAGAAUAAGCACCGGCUAACUUCGUG
rnacentral:rRNA from 1 species